UAUCUACAUAACCUAAUUGGUUAGACGAUAAUAGAACGAUAGUAGAGUGAGGGUAAAAGAGAGAGAGAGGUAAACAACAAAACAAUUGGUUGACCUAAAAGUUGUCGAUGGCUAUGUAAGCAAGGUAAAAAUAUAUUCUGAUCUUCUAAACGGGCUUGGUUUAGGUUUUACAUCCGCGUUUACUCUAUAUAAUGUAAAUGUAAGGAUAUCAUUGUCGUCGAUAAUGGAAUUUAACCCGUUAUAUUUGAAAUACUUGUUCCUUGCACAAUGCUUCUGUGUUUCUCUUGGAUUAAUUGAGGGUGGCACAAAAUUUACCAGGAAGAAUCAACCAGUAACUUUUGAAUGUCCUCUUGAAAAGCAAAACCUUAAACACUGGCGAAUUGAUAGAUACAUCAUUAGCAGAACUGCUAAAACUGAAACUUUGAAGCAAAUGUGCUUCCUAACAAUGUCAGGAUCAUAAACAUCACACU